rnacentral:misc_RNA from 1 species
UCACCCCUCAAGCCCGGCUUGCUGUUGGUGCCGGCGUGGCUUUAGGCCUCGUCCCGCCCAAAGAUAAUGACGGCGUCUGUGAGGACCCCUGUACACUGAGCUCUCGGGCACGUACACGGUUGGGAGUCCAGGCGCCGGUCGACGUCCGCAAGGACACUUUUUCUAA